rnacentral:rRNA from 1 species
UACGAAGGGGGCUAGCGUUGUUCGGAUUUACUGGGCGUAAAGCGCACGUAGGCGGGUUGUUAAGUCAGGGGUGAAAUCCUGGAGCUCAACUCCAGAACUGCCUUUGAUACUGGCAACCUAGAGGCUGGAAGAGGUUAGUGGAAUUCCCAGUGUAGAGGUGAAAUUCGUAGAUAUUGGGAAGAACACCGGUGGCGAAGGCGGCCAUCUGGACCGCAACUGACGCUGAGGCGCGAAAGCGUGGGGAGCAAACAGG